rnacentral:snRNA from 1 species
GGAUGCAAGGGCUAUCUGCUUGAGAUACCUGUCACACUGACAGCUGGGGUAGAUCUGGCUGAUCUAGCCGAUGUCCUCUUCCUCGCCUCCACUGCUCCAUGUGUGUCCCUCAGUCUUUCCAGGUAGAGGAAGACUGUCAAAGGCAAGGGCUUACGAGUAGCUGUGCUCCCAUGCUAGAGCUUCUAAUUGAGCUCUCAAGGCUCAUUUGUAGGAUAUCAUAGGAAGUCGAGCUCCAACACUGCAAACACAUUCACAUGAGGUGCUGCCUGUGGCAUUCUGCCUUGAUUU